rnacentral:rRNA from 1 species
GCAAGUCGAGCGCGCCCUUCGGGGUGAGCGGCGGACGGGUGCGUAACGCGUGGGAAUAUGCCCUUCUCUAAGGAAUAGCCUCUGGAAACGGAGAGUAAUACCGUAUAAGCCCUUCGGGGGAAAGAUUUAUCGGGAAAGGAUCGGCCCGCGUUAGAUUAGAUAGUUGGUGGGGUAACGGCCUACCAAGUCUACGAUCUAUAGCUGGUUUUAGAGGAUGAUC